AAAUUAAUCAUGCCAAAGCCAUUUAAAAGCAGUGCAAGAGAGAUUGUGUUGAAGGUUCGUGCCUUUUGUGAGAGAGAAAAGGCAAACCAAGCCCCGUUAAUUAGACUCGAUCAAGUGCGAGCACGAGUCGCCGCAAUGACAGGCAUGUCGGAGAAAACCGUGAGUAGAAUAACUAAAUAAGGUGAAGUUGCUGCCUCUACGUAUCAAAAACUCAAGUCUCCUGGAAAACACCGUCAAAAACGUAAAACGGUGGAUCUUGAUGAUUUCGAUUUAUGCGCAUUAAGAAAUAAAAUCCAUGAAAUGUAUACUGUCAGAAAAGUUGUUCCUACUUUGAAUAAAUUACUUAUUGAAUUAAGGAAUGAUAUAAACUUUGGUGGAGGUCGAACUACUAUGUGGAAAAUUUUAAAACGAAUCGGAUUUCAAUACAAAAAGUGUGGUUCGAAGCGGAAAAUUUUAAUGGAAAGACACGACAUAGUUGCAUGGAGACGCAAGUAUAUCGAUACUAUGAGGCAAAAUCGUGUAGAAGGUCGGCCAAUAGUUUUCUUAGAUGAAACAUACAUUCACGCAUCAUAUGCUGUGCAAAAAUAUUGGCAAAAAGGUGACGAGGACGGAGUACUAACAAGUGAUUCUCCUGGAACGCGAUGGAUUAUUGUUAAUGCAGGUGGAGAAAUGGGGUUCAUUUCUAAUGCUCAAUUGAUUUUUAAAUCAUAGAGUAAAUCAGGGGACUACCAUGACGAUAUGAAUAGAACAAAUUUUAUGAAAUGGCUUUCAGAGAAACUUAUACCCAAUUUGCCUCCAAACUCGUUAAUCGUCAUGGAUAAUGCUCCCUAUCAUACAGUACAAGUAAAUAAAGCACCUACUAUGAGUUCCUCAAAAGUCCAAAUGCAAGAAUGGAUUACAAAUAAGGAAUUAUCUUAUUUACCGACAAUGUUGAAAGCACAGCUUUAUCAAAUUAUAAAAGAGCACAAAGAAGCGCCCAUUUAUGAGGCUGACCAAUUAUUGAUAAGUCAUGGCCAUAAAGUGGUUAGGUUGCCCCCCUAUACUUGUGACUUAAAUAUUAUUGAGUUUAUGUGGAGUCUUUCAAAGAGACGAGUAGCUAGCAAUAAUGUCGGCCUAGAAGCUGGUAAUAUCGUGAAGUUAACUGAAGAAGAUUUUUCAUCGACAACUCCUCAGGAUUGGCAAAAACAGUGUGAACACGUAAUACAUUUAGAAGACAAUUUUUAUGAACGUGAUGGCUGCAUGGAUAAUAUUACGGAUAAAUUCAUAAUUGAACUAGGAAACGAGAGCAGCACAGAUUCGGAUACGUAAGACGACGCUUAUGCAAGUGACAGUGAUAUGUCUGGAAGCGUUUCUUUCGACCAUAAUUACUGUCAGUAAAAAUGCAAUAAAUAAAUAAUUUCAAAUUUAAA